UAGCUUGCUAAUGAGAUUCUUAGUGGCGGACGGGUUAGUAACACGUGAGAUACCUACCCUUUAGACAGGAAUAGCCCAUGGAAACGUGGAAUAAUACCUGAUAGUCUCUACGGAGUAAAUGAUGCCUUCGGGUGUCGCUAAAGGAUGGGCUCGCGGCCUAUCAGUUUGUUGGUGAGGUAAAGGCUCACCAAGACUACGACGGGUAGCUGGUCUGAGAGGACGAUCAGCAACACUGGAACUGAGACACGGUCCAGACACCUACGGGUGGCAGCAGUCGAGAAUCAUUCACAAUGGAGGAAACUCUGAUGGUGCAACGCCGCGUGGAGGAUGACGGCCCUAGGGUUGUAAACUCCUGUCAUUGGGGAGUAAGACUUAUGCGUUAAGAGCGUGUAAGUUUGAUAGUACCCAAAGAGGAAGGGACGGCUAACUUCGUGCCAGCAGCCGCGGUAAUACGAAGGUCCCAAGCGUUGUUCGGAAUAACUGGGCGUAAAGCGUGUGUAGGCUGCGCGGAAAGUCAAAUGUGAAAGCCAAGGGCUCAACCCUUGAACUGCAUUCGAUACUCCCGUGCUAGAGUAAUGGAGAGGUAAGUGGAAUUCUCGGUGUAGCAGUGAAAUGCGUAGAUAUCGAGAGGAACAUCAAUGGCGAAGGCAACUUACUGGACAUUUACUGACGCUCAGACACGAAGGCUAGGGGAGCGAAAGGGAUUAGAUACCCCUGUAGUCCUAGCAGUAAACGGUGCUCGCUUGGUGUGGGAGGAUUCGACCCCUUCUGUGCCGGAGCUAACGCG
rnacentral:rRNA from 3 species